rnacentral:rRNA from 1 species
GAUGAACGCUGGCGGCGUGCUUAACACAUGCAAGUCGAACGAGAAAUGGAGACGGAAACCUUCGGGCGGAAGGCUUCAUUUCGAGUGGCGGACGGGCGAGUAACGCGUGGGUAACCUGCCUCAUACAGGGGGAUAACAGUUGGAAACGACUGUUAAUACCGCAUAAGACCACAGCACCGCAUGGUGCGGGGGUAAAAACUCCGGUGGUAUGAGAUGGACCCGCGUUCGAUUAGCCAGUUGGCGGGGUAACGGCCCACCAAAGCGACGAUCGAUAGCCGAUCUGAGAGGAUGACCGGCCACAUUGGGACUGAGACACGGCCCAAACUCCUACGGGAGGCAGCAGUGGGGAAUAUUGCACAAUGGGGGAAACCCUGAUGCAGCGACGCCGCGUGAGUGAAGAAGUACUUCGGUAUGUAAAGCUCUAUCAGCAGGGAAGAAAAUGACGGUACCUGAGGAAGAAGCCCCGGCUAACUACGUG